rnacentral:rRNA from 1 species
GAUGAACGCUGGCGGCGUGCCUAAUACAUGCAAGUCGAGCGAACGGACGAGAAUCUUGCUUCUCUGAUGUUAGCGGCGGACGGGUGAGUAACACGUGGAUAACCUACCUAUAAGACUGGGAUAACUUCGGGAAACCGGAGCUAAUACCGGAUAAUAUUUUGAACCGCAUGGUUCAAAAGUAAAAGACGGUCUUGCUGUCACGUAUAGAUGGAUCCGCGCUGCAUUAGAUAGUUGGUAAGGUAACGGCUUACCAAGGCAACGAUGCAUAGCCGACCUGAGAGGGUGAUCGGCCACAAUGGAACUGAGCCACGGUCCAGACUCCUACGGGAGGCAGCAGUCGCGAAUCUUCCGCAAUGGGCGAAAACCUGACGGAGCAACGCCGAGCGAGUGAUGAAGGUCUUCGGAUCGUAAAACUCUGUUAUUAGGGAAGAACAUAUGUGUAAGUAAAUGUGCACAUAUUGACGGUACCUAAUCAGAAAGCCACGGCUAACUACGUG